CUGAAGUUCCGCUGUGGUAGCCUCGGGUAUGGACCGGAGAGACGACACGACAGUUUUCUCCGGCAGAGUCGGUUCCUGGCCUCAUCCCGGCCCCUUCUGGGCGGCUGCUGCUGACUGCUCUCCUUGCCCUCACCCAGAAGCUGGGUUCCGAGUUAGAAACCGCACUCCCACCCACUGAAUAGAGACUCUCCGAGAAGGAAUGGAUAACAAGGGAACAGCUACGGAAUCAGAAAGCAAGCUCAACUCUUACAUCUGUUUGUUCUUGUGCUGGUUUGGCUUUUGUUCUGUUGUUGUUGUUCCCCUAAGGACCAAGCACGGUGUUUUUGAAUGGACGUUUCUGGGUUUUGAUAGAUCCGAGAGGCUGCCUGGGUAAGGGGCGGUGGAAAGAGCCACGCCCUAAAUCCUCCCUAGCACCUGCCCUAAACUACAAAGCAGCCUUGCAGUUUAUCCCAAAGUGUGUGUUGGGGGGGUGAGGGUAGGGGCGACAAUAGGAUUACCCUCCUAAAUUAAACCUUUAAAUCCUACCUAGUUCCUUCACUAAUCUGCUAAACUCAGACUCCACCCUUCCUUCGAAGGACUACAAAUGUAAGGAAUCCCCUUGGUUUUGCGACUUGCUCUUGGAUUCCCCACCCCAAAGCUCACCAGUGUUAUUAAAGGAUCUGGUCUCCUGAAAUACGUCCCAGCAGCCGUCUAUAGCGAACCAAUGAGGAAACCGAGGCUGAGCAAAAGUUAAUUGUUGAGAAAUCACACAGGCAGUGAAUGGUAGAAUGGACUGAGACUAGAGCCCCAGUGUUGACUCAUCCAUUGACGCGCAAGCCUGCCUACACUGUCUCACUUUUACAAAUCAUGUAAGAAAAUAAGCAAUGAAUAUUUCAGGCAGGCACUGGAAUUCACAACUUAGAAGACAAACGUCUUCUCUUAUGAUGAUCCACGUAAUAAAAAAGACUCAAGAAGAAGAUCCACUGUCACUCUUAUUGGCAGGCCCCGUGCCCAGAAGGAGACUAGGAGCGCAAGACCAGCUCGAUGACAUUUUCGGUUUUUUCCCAUUCCAAUUCGUGUCCAUUGACUCUUAUUUCACUACUAUUUCUUAGAUGCUUGUUUUCUAUGAGAGGAGGGUGUGAUUAGGGUGGGAGGGAAGAGGGGAAGAGGUGGGGGAGGGGAAACUGUCAUCAGAAUGUACUGUAUCAAAAACCUAUUUUC
rnacentral:lncRNA from 1 species